GUUGUUUAGAUGGGGUGAAGUUAUCAUGGUCAAAUCAUAUUGACUAAGUUGUUGUUUAGAUGGGGUGAAGUUAUCAUGGUCAAAUCAUAUUGACUAAGUUGUUGUUUAGAUGGGGUGAAGUUAUCAUGGUCAAGUCAUAUUGACUAAGCUGUUGUGAAGAUGGGGUGAAGUUAUCAUGGUCAAGUCAUAUUGACUAAGUUGUUGUGAAGAUGGGGUGAAGUUAUCAUGGUCAAGUCAUAUUGACUAAGCUGUUGUGAAGCUGGGGUGAAGUUAUCAUGGUCAAGUCAUAUUGACUAAGCUGUUGUGAAGAUGGGGUGAAGUUAUCAUGGUCAAAUCAUAUUGACUAAGUUGUUGUUUAGAUGGGGUGAAGUUAUCAUGGUCAAGUCAUAUUGACUAAGUUGUUGUGAAGAUGGGGUGAAGUUAUCAUGGUCAAGUCAUAUUGACUGUUUUGUUGUGAAGAUGGGGUGAAGUUAUCAUGGUCAAGUCAUAUUGACUAAGUUGUUGUGAAGAUGGGGAGGGGUGUGUCUGUGUUUUUGACACAAAGAUCAACUGUACUAGUUGUUCAGACUCUGGUCUUGUCCCAUCUUGAUUACUGUCUGUUUAUAUGGUCAGGUGCAGAAAAGAAAGACAGAGCAAAGCUGGCUCAAAACAGAGCAGCACGCCU
rnacentral:lncRNA from 1 species